AUUAGUUUUGCUCUGCAAUGGGAUGGGAUCCGAACACGCUCUCCCAUCCAACUCCUAUUCCGACAUGUCCUCGUCGUGCAGAGUGGCAACGUGUGCCAUCACUUAUCCAAUCUUGGGUACACGGGCUUGGCCCAACCCCUUGGGCGGAUGGUGACAUAUGGCGAACCAAGAGGGG
rnacentral:ribozyme from 1 species